rnacentral:rRNA from 1 species
CGCGCAACUGUCGUGCAACGGCGUCGUCCGUACGGGCAUCACAACGACCCGAUGCUCAUGUUGCGCCAGCGACC